rnacentral:rRNA from 1 species
ACCGAAAGGCCUCGCGCUCAAGGAGCGGCCGAUGGCGGAUUAGCUAGUUGGUGAGGUAAAGGCUCACCAAGGCGACGAUCCGUAGCUGGUCUGAGAGGACGGCCAGCCACACUGGGACUGAGACACGGCCCAGACUCCUACGGGAGGCAGCAGUGGGGAAUUUUGGACAAUGGGCGCAAGCCUGAUCCAGCAAUGCCGCGUGUGUGAAGAAGGCCUUCGGGUUGUAAAGCACUUUUGUCCGGAAAGAAAACUUCGUCCCUAACAUGGAUGGAGGCUGACGGUACCGGAAGAAUAAGCACCGGCUAACUACGUGCCAGCAGCCGCGGUAAUACGUAGGGUGCGAGCGUUAAUCGGAAUUACUGGGCGUAAAGCGUGCGCAGGCGGUGAUGUAAGACCGAUGUGAAAUCCCCGGGCUUAACCUGGGAACUGCAUUGGUGACUGCAUUGCUGGAGUAUGGCAGAGGGGGGUGGAAUUCCACGUGUAGCAGUGAAAUGCGUAGAGAUGUGGAGGAACACCGAUGGCGAAGGCAGC